AGAGCGGCUCCCUGUCGAAUAGGCAGCUUCACGCAGAAAUGCGAGAUGAAAAACCGGGCUAAUUCGGGGAAACCUUUUCCGCCAGCCGGCGGAUGGCAAUCCCGAGCUAAAUUCCUACGAAGCUUAGUGACUUGUCCUGAGCUUGUCGAAGGAUAAAUGUGUAGAGACUAUAUACCCGGAUCCCUUUGGGGAUAUGAGAUAGUCCACCCCUUAACGAAAGUUAUGG
rnacentral:ncRNA from 1 species